AGAGUUUGAUCAUGGCUCAGAUUGAACGCUGGCGGCAUGCCUAACACAUGCAAGUCGAACGGUAACGACGGGAGCUUGCUCCCGGGCGACGAGUGGCGGACGGGUGAGUAAUACUUAGGAAUCUGCCCAGUAGUGGGGGACAACUCGAGGAAACUCGAGCUAAUACCGCAUACGCCCUACGGGGGAAAGCGGAGGAUCUUUCGGGACUUCGCGCUAUUGGAUGAGCCUAAGUCGGAUUAGCUUGUUGGUGGGGUAAAGGCCUACCAAGGCGACGAUCUGUAGCUGGUCUGAGAGGACGAUCAGCCACACUGGGACUGAGACACGGCCCAGACUCCUACGGGAGGCAGCAGUGGGGAAUAUUGGACAAUGGGGGCAACCCUGAUCCAGCAAUGCCGCGUGUGUGAAGAAGGCCUGCGGGUUGUAAAGCACUUUCAGUAGAGAAGAAAUGCCCAUGGUUAAUACCCGUGGGUCUUGACGUAACCUACAGAAGAAGCACCGGCUAACUCCGUGCCAGCAGCCGCGGUAAUACGGAGGGUGCGAGCGUUAAUCGGAAUUACUGGGCGUAAAGCGCGCGUAGGCGGUUUGGUCAGUCGGAUGUGAAAGCCCUAGGCUCAACCUGGGAAUGGCAUUCGAUACUGCCUGACUAGAGUAUGGUAGAGGGAAGUGGAAUUUCCCGGUGUAGCGGUGAAAUGCGUAGAUAUCGGAAGGAACACCCGUGGCGAAGGCGACUUCCUGGGCCAAUACUGACGCUAAGGUGCGAAAGCGUGGGGAGCAAACAGGAUUAGAUACCCUGGUAGUCC
rnacentral:rRNA from 1 species